rnacentral:rRNA from 1 species
AUACGGAGGGGGUUAGCGUUGUUCGGAAUUACUGGGCGUAAAGCGCACGUAGGCGGAUUAAAAAGUUAGAGGUGAAAUCCCAGGGCUCAACCCUGGAACUGCCUUUAAAACUAGUAGUCUAGAGUUCGAGAGAGGUGAGUGGAAUUCCAAGUGUAGAGGUGAAAUUCGUAGAUAUUUGGAGGAACACCAGUGGCGAAGGCGGCUCACUGGCUCGAUACUGACGCUGAGGUGCGAAAGCGUGGGGAGCAAACAGGAUUAGAAACCCGGGUAGUCC